rnacentral:rRNA from 1 species
CCUACGGGAGGCAGCAGUGGGGAAUAUUGGGCAAUGGGCGAAAGCCUGACCCAGCAACGCCGCGUGAAGGAAGAAGGCUUUCGGGUUGUAAACUUCUUUUGACAGGGAAGAGCAGAAGACGGUACCUGUCGAAUAAGCCACGGCUAACGACGUGCCAGCAGCCGCGGUAAUACGUAGGUGGCAAGCGUUGUCCGGAUUUACUGGGUGUAAAGGGCGGGUAGCCGGGCUGACAAGUCAGAUGUGAAAUCCGGGGGCUCAACCCCCGAACGGCAUUUGAAACUGGCAAACUGGAGUGUGUGAGAGGCUAGUGGAAUUCCAGGUGUAGGCGUGAAAUCCGUAGAUAUCUGGAGGAACCUCAGUGGCGAAGGCGACUAUCUGGCACAUACCUGACGCUGAGGCGCGAAAGCGUGGGUAGCAAACAGGAUUAGAUACCCCUGUAGUC